UGUAAUUUAUUAAAAUUCCCAUUAAAAUCAACAAACAAAAUUUUUGAAAAAAGGAAUUAUUUUACUAUGAAUUACGAAUCGUGCCGUAUGAACGGGUUAAUUCGUGUACCUAAUUCUGAGAGCGAACAACGUUGUUCGGUUUCCAAUGGAAACAUGUUAUAACAAAAUCUUGGCCGAAUGAACAAUAUCGAAGCAGUGCCUGCCAAUCAUAAAUACUGGCAACCCUCUGAUUAAAAAUAUUAUCGCUUCCACAGCAAGGAGUUACUGAAAAAAGAAUGCAAAAAAAUGCCAAGCGAUAAAGCCGAGACAUCUGUGGCGCACUCCUAUGAAAUAAGAGUUAUAAAAAAAAGAUUACCCACAACAUCGGAUAUGGUCGAUGAUGCCCUAGUUAAUUUACAAGCGAAAAUGGGAGUUUCUUUGAAAAAAAUAACAUCUUACAUUACAGGCAAGUAUGUAAUUUCCAUGAGCGGCCGUCGAAACGCACUUAUUAAGCAAAGACUAAAACAUUUAAUGGAAACAAAAUAUGUAGUUAAUGUGACCGGUGUUGGUUUAAAAGGUAAAAUAAGGAUAGUUAGUAUUGCGAAGUUCCGAAAACUGAUCGAAACACAGAAUUCGAAAGAAGUAAAAGCAAACAGAAACUCUACUGUCAGAGAAGAUACAAAAUCAGAAGGCAUGGAGGCUGACGGAACGCCAUCUCUAGAGCCUCAAAGAACACCCCCAACUCGAAAACGGUUCAGUGUGUUUGACACACCACCAACUGUUACGUUGUCACAAAUAAAUGGUCAUCAUAAUAUAGGGGAUGAUAUAAGGGACUCGUAUAGCACUCCAGUACGAUCAACAACGCCACCUAAAAAGAAACGGAGUCUUACAAAAAUAUUUAAUAUGCAGUAAAUGUAAAUAUGUUUGUUAUUUUUUGUAUAUACUUUAAAAGUAAUUUCGUUUUUGCCAAGAUUUUGAAAAAGUUUGUAUAUAAAUGUAUUUGUUAGUACUUCACGUUAUGGUGGGAUUAAUUUGAAAUAGUUUAAACAUAAGAUUAAUUGCAUUUAUAAUGCAAAGAAAUAGUGUCUCAAAUAUCGGUCUUUAGAAAUUCUUAUGGUUCUUAUUAAACUUAAAAAAAUAUUGUAAUGAAGAUAAUAAUAUGGAGGAACACAGCCUAAAACAUUUGUAACUACAAUGUCAAGAAGCAAAACAAAUAUUUGUUUAUGCGAAUUAAAUUAUUUUUUCUUUAAAAAAAAACAUUGAAAACUAUUUUUGCUCUUUUAGUUUUAGAAAUAAAAUUGGUAAAUAAAAGAUGUUAUAAUAUUGCAUAUAGGCAGACAUUUUUAGGAAUAUUUUUCUGUUUGCGAAAAAUAUUUGCUUAAAUGUGUAUGCGGUAAAUUAUAUUUUUCUAUUAUUAUAAUGUUAAAAUGAACUGUUUUUGUUUUUUUUUUAUCGCUUCAUGUAAUAUUUUUUUAUUUAUAUAGUAAGAACUGUUAUUUGUAUUAAUUAUAUUUUGUAAUUUCAUACAUUAAAAACUACGGUAAAGUUCAUUUUAUUGUAACGUUUAUUUAUAAUCGAUAUUUUUGGAAUAUUUUACUUGUGGUCCAUGGUAAAAUUAUAUAAGGUAAUCUC